rnacentral:rRNA from 1 species
CCGGUAGCUACGUUCGGACAGGAUAACCGCUGAAAGCAUCUAAGCGGGAAGCCCCCUUCAAGAUAAGUUUUCCCUGGGAAUUUAAUUCCCCUAAAGAGCCGUUAAAGACUAUGACGUUGAUAGGCUGGGUGUGUAAGUGCGGUAACGUAUUGAGCUAACCAGUACUAAUUGCUCGUGAGGCUUAACUAUAUAACGCCCAAG